rnacentral:misc_RNA from 1 species
UCUCCGUUGGUAAACCAGCGGAGGGAUCAUUACCGAGUUUACAACUCCCAAACCCCUAUGUGAACGUUACCAAACUGUUGCCUCGGCGGGAAAUUCAUGCCCCGGGCGCGUCGCAGCCCCGGACCAAGGCGCCCGCCGGAGGACCAACCAAAACUCUUUUGUAUGUCCCUCGCGGACUUUUAUAAUUCUGAACCAUCUCGGCGCCCCUAGCGGGCGUUUCGAAAAUGAAUCAAAACUUUCAACAACGGAUCUCUUGGUUCUG